rnacentral:lncRNA from 1 species
UAAACCUCUCUUUCUUGCUUUUUUUCUUUUUCCUUUUUUUUUUUUUAAUAAGAGAGAAGCUGGUUGAACUUGCUCCUUAGGAGCAGAUUGAAGCUAAAAUUUCUGUUCCUCUCUCUAGUGUGAGGUGACUUUGCAGCACAGGAUCUGAUGGUUUUUGAAGGCUGCCAUUGCACUUCCCUUUGCCUCCCUUCUGCACUGAUGGGGAGAAGGGUCACCUAUGGUUUUCACUGGUAAAAAUAAUCAGCAUGGGUUUUGUCUUGGUACUACUGACCCCAGUGGAAGUCCAAGCUGCUAAAUGACUCACUCUUACCAUGCUUCAUCCUCGAACAGCUUUCUGCACUGAGUAUGUGUUUUGGAAACAAGCCAGCCUGAUCCUACAAAUCCUGUUUUUCUGUGUGAUUUGUUUUACAAGAGCACUCACAUGAGAUAUGGUGCAGGGAGGCAGGUGGGGGGGUCCUUUG